AUUGAACGCUGGCGGAAUGCUUUACACAUGCGAGUCGAGCGGCAGCACGGGGGCAACCCUGGUGGCGAGCGGCGAACGGGUGAGUAAUACAUCGGAACAUGCCCAGUCGUGGGGGAUAACACUUCGAAAGGAGUGCUAAUACCGCAUACGUCCUGAGGGAGAAAGCGGGGGAUCGCAAGACCUCGCGCGAUUGGAGUGGCCGAUGUCAGAUUAGCUAGUUGGUGGGGUAAAGGCCUACCAAGGCAACGAUCUGUAGCUGGUCUGAGAGGAUGAUCAGCCACACUGGGACUGAGACACGGCCCAGACUCCUACGGGAGGCAGCAGUGGGGAAUUUUGGACAAUGGGGGCAACCCUGAUCCAGCCAUUCCGCGUGAGUGAAGAAGGCCUUCGGGUUGUAAAGCUCUUUCGGCAGGAACGAAACGGCGUGCGCUAACAUAGCUUUCUAAUGACGGUACCUGAAGAAGAAGCACCGGCUAACUACGUG
rnacentral:rRNA from 1 species